rnacentral:lncRNA from 1 species
CUGAUGCCAGUGCAGAAGCAAGUGCAAAAAGCAAAGCUGAAGUUCAAGCCACUGCUAUGGCUAGUGCCAAAACUAAAUUGGAAACCCAAGUAGAAGAUGCUGCCAAAGACAAAGCAAAGGACGAAGCUAAAGUCCAGAGUGAUGCCGAAGCCAAAACUGCUACAGAUGGUUUAGUUAACGAUGCCGCACGAGCCAAAGACACAGCAGAACAUAACGUCAAAGCUGAAAUCGAUGCUAAAGUCAAAGCUGACAAGGAUGAGAAAGAUGCAUCUAAAGAUGAGAGUGACGCAAAAAAAACCAUCGAGCUUGAAACAACAGCUGAAAAAAAAGCAGAAAAUGAAGCCAAAACUAGUGCUAAAUUAGAAGACAAAGCUCAGAAUGAAGCCGAAGCCGAUGAAAAAGAUGAAGAAAAGGCCAAGGCCGAAUCUGAAGUUGACGCAGAAGAUAAAAAAGAAGCUGAUAGCAAAGCCAAAGUUGCUGCUGUAGCCGUGUCUAAGGCAGAAGCUGAAGCCAAU